AAUUCGAAGCCUUGGAGUCACGAAUGGAGGAUAAGAUUCGGACACUCUUUACCGAACUCAGAUUGGGCCGACCACUAAGCCCGAAAAAAUCAUAUCACGGAGAGAGCUUUGCCCAAUCGCACCAGGCUCGAAGAGAUGAGUUCCAAGGGAGGGGAGGCUCUAUGACUGAACCCAACUAUCUAUGCAUGAGAGUGGACUUCCCUAGAUGGGAAGAAG
rnacentral:lncRNA from 1 species